GCGGCGGUUAUGUCACAGUGGCAGUUGAAGGCAGUAACCCCUCCUUUGCCAGUUAGGUGCUAAUUUGAAUACACAGAAAAAGACCUGUAACGGGCGAACGGCGCAGCGGAUCCGGGAAAGACUGGGGAGGGGCUGGACGUAAGGUUGAGUCACUACUAUGUGCUUAGUACUGCAAAACUGCCAUAGGAAUAACUACAACCAGGGAAUAUUUCUCAAUAAUGUUGUCACUCCUGAAAUGUACUGGAUCAGUCUGAAGAAACAAGACCUAUCCUCAUAAAUCUCAAAGUUUAGUGUGUAGAGUUUCACCGAAGUAACAGCAGUCUUCAGCAGCACAGUCCAAAGGAAGAGAGUAAAGAUGGCUGAGAUGGAAGACCUGCCUAAGCGGUUGUUGGCGAAAGCAGCAGCGGAGGGAAAGUCUGGCUUAAAAGAGAAACCUUGAUGAAAACCCCAGCAGUGACGUGCAGCUACCAGAGCAGGAAGAGGAGGCACUCCUGGGUCUCUCCUCAUGUCUGGAUGUAUCAGGGCCUGGUAAGGAGUGCUAAAUUAUCUCCCAACAAAAGAAGAAGAGCCAGUGCCAUAGGUGAUAGAGCCUGGAGCCGCCUGCAUCAGACUGUGCCCAACCCAGAAGCAUAUGGGACAUCUUUUCCCUUCUGUAAGAAGGGUUGAGAGCAGGGCUCUGGCCAAAAGGCUGGCCCUGUCAGCUCAGCAUGUGGAGAGGGGAAAGUCCCGGAAGCCACCGUUGCUGAUCUUGAACCAGCUAUUAACUCUCUCUCUUCCAUAAAAUGUUUUACUAUGAAUGUACAUAUAUGUUUAUUCAUUUUUGUGUGUUCCACUACCAUGUGCACUUUAUUGUUUGGCCCUCCCAAUUAUCCUGGGUGCCAUGAGGAAUGGGUGAGUGCACCCUUACACACAA